rnacentral:rRNA from 1 species
GGCGCACGGUGGAUGCCUUGGCACUAGGAGCCGAAGAA